UACGAAGGGGGCUAGCGUUGUUCGGAAUUACUGGGCGUAAAGCGCGUGUAGGCGGGUUUUUUCGUCUGGGGUGAAAUGCCAAGGCUCAACCUUGGAACUGCCUUUGAUACUGGAGAUCUUGAGUCCGGGAGAGGUGAGUGGAAUUGCGAGUGUAGAGGUGAAAUUCGUAGAUAUUCGCAAGAACACCAGUGGCGAAGGCGGCUCACUGGCCCGGAACUGACGCUGAGACGCGAAAGCGUGGGGAGCAAACAGG
rnacentral:rRNA from 1 species